GCAUAUCAAUAAGCGGAGGAAAAGAAACUAACAAGGAUUCCCCUAGUAGCGGCGAGCGAAGCGGGAAGAGCUCAAAUUUAUAAUCUGGCACCUUCGGUGUCCGAGUUGUAAUCUCUAGAAAUGUUUUCCGCGUUGGACCGCACACAAGUCUGUUGGAAUACAGCGGCAUAGUGGUGAGACCCCCGUAUAUGGUGCGGACGCCCAGCGCUUUGUGAUACAUUUUCGAAGAGUCGAGUUGUUUGGGAAUGCAGCUCAAAUUGGGUGGUAAAUUCCAUCUAAAGCUAAAUAUUGGCGAGAGACCGAUAGCGAACAAGUACCGUGAGGGAAAGAUGAAAAGCACUUUGGAAAGAGAGUUAACAGUACGUGAAAUUGUUGGAAGGGAAACGCUUGAAGUCAGACUUGCUUGCCGAGCAAUCGGUUUGCAGGCCAGCAUCAGUUUUCCGGGAUGGAUAAUGGUAGAGAGAAGGUAGCAGUUUCGGCUGUGUUAUAGCUCUCUGCUGGAUACAUCUUGGGGGACUGAGGAACGCAGUGUGCCUUUGGCGGGGGUUUCGACCUCUUCACACUUAG
rnacentral:rRNA from 1 species